rnacentral:rRNA from 1 species
UACGUAGGGUGCGAGCGUUGUCCGGAAUUAUUGGCGUAAAGAGCUCGUAGGCGGUCUGUCGCGUCGAUCGUGAAAACUUGGGGCUUAACCCUGAGCUUGCGGUCGAUACGGGCAUGACUGGAGUUCGGCAGGGGAGACUGGAAUUCCUGGUGUAGCGGUGAAAUGCGCAGAUAUCAGGAGGAACACCGGUGGCGAAGGCGGGUCUCUGGGCCGAUACUGACGCUGAGUGAGCGAAAGCCAGGGGAGCAAACGGG